GCGGCACGACUUGAGUGAGGUGCCCCGCGCGAGCGGGGAGAAUCGGGAAGCCGGUGCGAAUCCGGCACGGGCCCGCCGCGGUGACCGGGGAGCCACCGUCCACGCGCGAAGAGCGCAGCCACUGGUCCGCACGGGCUGGGAAGGCGGACGGCACGGCGUCGAUCCGGGAGUCCGAAGACCGGCCUCGCGUCACGCGCCCAC
rnacentral:ncRNA from 1 species